rnacentral:ncRNA from 1 species
GGAAGCCGUAUUCGAUGAAAAUCGUAUGUACGGUUUGAAGGAGGAUCUUUAAAUAUCCACCCUAU